GACGAGCUCUCCAAACGUUAUUCGGUAUCACUGGGCUUAAAGAGUUCGUAGGCGGCUCAUUAGGUGGGGUGUGAAAGCCCUCGGCUCAACCGAGGAACUGCGCCCCAAACCAAUGGGCGUCGAGGGGUAUAGGGGUAAGGCGGAACGAAGAUGGUGGAGCGGUGAAAUGCAUUGAUAUCAUCUGGAACACCGGUGGCGAAAGCGGCUUACUGGAUACUUUCUGACGCUGAGGAACGAAAAGCCUAGGGUGAGCGAACGGG
rnacentral:rRNA from 1 species